rnacentral:tRNA from 1 species
ACACUGAUAGCUCAGUGGAAGAACACUUGCCUUCCAUGAAGGAGACCUUGGUUUGAUUCCUGGCCAGUGUA